rnacentral:rRNA from 1 species
GUGACCUCAAAUCAGGUAGGACUACCCGCUGAACUUAAGCAUAUCAAUAAGCGGAGGAAAAGAAACUAACAAGGAUUCCCUAGUAACUGCGAGUGAAGCGGGAAAAGCUCAAAUUUAAAAUCUGUCAGUCUUUGGCUGUCCGA